UCCUGCUCUCCGCCCUCCGCCGGGACACUAAAUACCGUGUCCUGAUGCGACCGGGGCCUGAUUCUUCAUUGGGUACGCUCUCCCGACGACCCGCCCCCCUUGCUCAAGGCUCUCUCUGAUUGGUGGGUGCUACGCGGAAGCGGGUCGGACUCUGUGGACUCGGGCCGAGGGUCGCGGCGCGCGGGUGCUUUCUCGCCUUGGACUGGGCGCGUGGUAUUGUGCGGCAGUUUCUGCUCUUUACGGGUCUCUGGCCAGAUCCAAGGUGGGGCCGCGGGCCUGGCCACGCCACCGACGGGGUCCCUCACGCGGCAGUCCUCCUGCUUAGUGGGAGUCUGUCGGGAAAGGUCCGAGUGUCCACCCCACCCGUCGGUUCCCGCGUCUCCGGCCCCGAUCGCCAGUCUGACGCCCUAAGGACGCUUGCAGCCUGGAGAAGCCCCUGGCGAGGCCCGCGGCUUCCUCCCCUGAGGAAGCGCUGUGCCCGGGCUCAAAUCCCGGCUCUGGCCAUUAGUACCCCGGGGGACAGGGGUCUUGAUGGAAGCCGUGACUGCGAGUACACACGCCUGUGUAGUUAAUUUCGGACUGGAGAUGUGAACCCGGAGCCCGGGAGCGGUGACAGCCCCGGGAAAGUCCAGGUCCUUUCCGAAGCCAGCUUGAGGGACACCCGGAAAAUCACACCAACCAGAGCAGGGAAGGCAGCCAGGGCUGCAGACUGCAAAAACGGAAAUGCAAGGGUCGAAGAAUCAGAAAAACCCACAACAAAUGAUGGACCAGAUGGAUCCAGGCUCUUAAGUCAUUGUCAUUUAAAAAAAGAAAAAAGAAAAAAAAUGCGGCACCGGCACCGAGGGAUGGCUGUUCUAGCUUAAAACAAACUUCAGAGACGUGGUGACCAGGGCUGGUUUCUCUGACUGCUUCUCUGUGGAGUUGGAGAAGAGGUUUAGGCAGCUCAAGAGGAGGAUGGGAAUCCCACGAGGCCAGCACAGAGAACUCUGGGGAGAAUGUGGACGAUGGAGUUCCUGUUCUAUUUGAAGGUUCUACAGAGUUCCUUAAGUAUGGCACCCAUCAAGUGGCGUAGUCUCACUAAGGGUCAGAGUUCAGGAUCACAGCAUGUGCAUCACGGAGGGUUCCUGGAUUACUUUGAAGAUAAGAAGCAUGAAAAACUAUGUCAGCACUGGCCGAGGCCAAGGCAGACACAGAGAGAGAGAGAGAAAGAAAAAGAUAUCUUCCAUCAGCUGUUUCACUUCUCAAAUGCUUGCCACAGCUGGAGCUGAGCCAGCCCAAAUCAGGGGCCUGAACCCAUCCGGGUCUCCCACAUAGGAGGCACGGACUCAGGCAGAGGAAUAGAGAUGGAGAUCUUCCAUCUGCUGGUUUAUUCCCCAAAUGCUUGCAACAGCCCGGAAUGGGCCAACCUGAAGCCAGGAGCCCCAAACCCAGACGCUUUCUCCAUUGCUCAAAGAGUUCCUGAGCAAUCCCGAACCUUAAAUCCACCAUCAGACAAGCAGCAGGUGAAAGCGGGCCUUAUUGUUCUCACACCUGACUCUGCUCGAGAAAGCUGCAGGCGUGUGGGAGUGACUGAAGGACAGAGAAGCCGGAGGUGCUGCCAAGGGAACUGCCAGUUUUGUGGGAGGGGAGGGGAAUGAGAGCCCCAGCCCGCAGGGCAGGGGGAGGAAGGAGGUGAGUGGAGUGCCUCCUUGUCCACCAGGGCCGGCACAUCACAGGGCCUGCCUGUGUCCAGCGGCAGCUACUGCUGCAUUCUGACUUCCACAGGGUUUGUCCUUACUGCCCACGUGCUAUGGAGACAGGAGAAUUCACGAGGAAGUGGCCCGUCCUGAACUGUUCCUCACCUGAUGUCAUCAAUAGCUCCGGAACACGCCUCCCCCCAGUGCAGCUCAGACCAGGACCCGGGCAGCACUGGGCCACGUCGACCGAGAGCAUUGAUAAGCAUCUGCUGAUGCCCAAGUGGUCGCGGUGAUGUCACACACGGCAGUGAAGGCUGCAGAAGUCAGCGACAGUGUCCACGCAACCUAUUGUACAAGUACUAACCAGAGGGCACUAACACACACGCACGCGCACACACAUAGACUGGUUUUAAGGAAUUUGCUCACACACUUACAGGGGCAGGCAGGUCCAAAAAAUCUCCAGCAGGCUGCAGAGCCAGGAGAGCCAGUGCAUAGCUCCUGUCCCAAGGCCCUCUGAGGGUAGAAUCCCCUCCUGCUGGGGGUGGGUCACCCUAGGUUCCACACAGGCUUUCCUCUGAUCGUCACGGAGGGUGACCUGCUUUGUUCAAAGUCCACCAGUUUAAAUGUCUAUCUCACACAACACACCCUAACUGAAACGUCCCAAAUUAAUAUCUUAGCAGAUUAUCUUGGCACCACGGCCCAGACAAGCUGGCACAUAAAACUAAUCAUCGCUGGUGCCGUGGCUCAAUAGACUAAUCUUCCACCUUGCGGCGCCAGCACACUGGGUUCUAGUCCCGGUCGGGGCGCUGGAUUCUGUCCUGGUUGCCCCUCUUCCAGGCCAGCUCUCUGCUAUGGCCCGGGAGUGCAGUGGAGGAUGGCCCAGGUCCUUGGGCCCUGCACCCGCAUGGAAGACCAGGAGAAGCACCUGGCUCCUGGCUUCGGAUCAGCACGAUGCCGCGGCGGCCAUUGGAGGGUGAACCAAUGGCAAAAGGAAGACCUUUCUCUCUGUCUCUCUCUCUCUCACUGUCCACUCUGCCUGUCAAAAAUAAAAAUAAAAAAAUAAAAUAAAAAAAAACACUAAUCAUCAUCCUUAACCACGCCGAUGUAAAGUGACUCAAGCCAAACCUAACACAAAGCCUAAACCUGAGCGAUGCAGGCUCUUUUGUCCAUAUGGGAGAAAGGGUCACAGAAUUUCUUACCACUGGAAAUGGGCGCUUGGGCUUCCUCUACUGCCUGCCAUCAUCACUGGUAAUGAUACCAAGUAGCAGGCUGUCCAAUUGGAGCGGGCCAGGCUGGACUCUAGACUGGCACUAGAUGACAUCAUGGCUGUCGGGACUAAGAGCUGCUGCUCUCCCCGGGACGUUCUCACAGUUCGAUAAGCCCAGGACCCUGGGGGACAAGGGUGAGAUCAGUAUUGCCAGUUGGCCUUACUAUGUGGUUGGGAGUUCUGCUGUCAGUAACCUUAACUUUUUUUUACAUUAAAUAUUUACUGGGGCUGGCACUGUAGCGCAGCGGGUUAAAGCCCUGGUCUGAAGCACCAGAAUCCCAUAUGGGUGCCGGUUCUAGUCCCAGCUGCUCCUCUUCCAAUCCUGUUCUCUGCUGUGGCCUGGGAAGGCAGUAGAAGAUGGCCCAAGUCCUUGGGCCCCUGCACCCGUGAAGGAGACUCGGAAAAAGCUUCUGGCUCCCGGCUUUGGAUGGGCGCAGCUCUGGCUGUUGCAGAGUUGAACCAGCAGAUGGAAGCUGGGGAGUGAACCAGCAGAUGGA